UACGUAGGCAGCAAGCGUUGUUCGGAGUUACUGGGCGUAAAGGGUGUGUAGGCGGUUGUUUAAGUUUGGUGUGAAAUCUCCCGGCUCAACUGGGAGGGUGCGCCGAAUACUGAAUGACUAGAGUGCGGGAGAGGAAAGUGGAAUUCCUGGUGUAGCGGUGAAAUGCGUAGAUAUCAGGAGGAACACCGGUGGUGUAGACGGCUUUCUGGACCGUAACUGAC
rnacentral:rRNA from 1 species